AAAAUAAAUUAUAGCAUUGUUAUUUGUUUUAAAAAGUAUAAUUAUGUAGAAGAAGAAUAGAAGAAUAUGAGAUAUUACGGGGGGGAGGAGGAAGAGAGAGGAUGUGAAAAGUUCUGAAUCCCAUGAAUAUCUUAAAAACCAAACAUUUCUGAAAAAAAUAUUUUAGACAAAAGUUAUAGAAUUUAAAAAGAUCUAUUUACUGAUAAUAUCAGUUGGACUUUGGAUGGCAUCGCCAAAGUUAUGUCAAGGUCACAUUGAUUUUAUUUAUUGAAAUAUUCUAUUUUUUAUUUCAAAAUUUAGCAGUUGAUGCCAAAAGCUUUUUAAAUUUUAUUUCAAAUGAAAAUAAAGUUUAUUUUCAUUAAUUACUUUUUGAGUUAUAAGGAUUGGAAGUUAUAGGACCGCUGUCAUUAGCAUUGGAUUGUAAUAGAUCACCUGUACAAGUGAUUGGUAGGAGGGACAAUUACUUCUCAUUGGUAGGAUAAAAACUAAUCACAGUCAAUUAUUUACUCAGUGAGCGGUAGUGCUAUUUAAUGCAACCCAAACUAAGCUGAAGACAAUAAGCUAGAGAUCUUUCUUGUCAAAUUUAUUCGGCUGCUAUACGUCUUUUUUGAGACUUGUGACUGGAGUUUAAAAUAAUCACAACAAUUCUUACUUUCCGAAAGCGUAUCCCUUUUUGAUGGUGCAUGGAUGCGGUAAGGUAAAUGACUAUAACUUCGUCAGCGGAUAUAAUUUCGUCAGGACUUCUUAAAAUUAAAUAAAUUAAGCAAUUUUGCACAUGUCGACUAUAUUUCCCGAUUUAAAACGAUUUGAACACUUUUCAUCGUCUCAAUACAGAAAUUUUAAACCAAAAGACGAAUAAAAAAAAAGGAUAUAUUUGUUUAUCCUAACGCGGCGUUGCCGCGGCGCUACUGAGUAGUGGUAGUCACGCACAAGACUUAGUGACAAGCGGACGGGUCUUAAGGUUAUAAAUUUCGAUUGAAGUUUUGAAGAUGGAGGAACGGAAGAAGUCCCAAAUCAAAAAAAAACCUAAACAAAAUAUUAUAUUCUAGUCUACGAAAGAGAAGAAAUAGUUAAAAAAAUCUUGCCACCCAUGCUCUUGAAUAGUAGAGGGAUUUAUUCUGUAAACGUUGAUUAAUGGUAUUUACAUAUAACGGUGAUAACAGAUGUAAGAAAAAAUUUAAUCUACGAAAGAGAAAACAUUAUUAAAAAAAUCUAGAUUUUUUUAUUUUUUUUACUUAUGCUCUUAAAUAGUAAAGGAAUUUAUUUCAUUUUUUUUUAUUUUUCAAAACGUAACAAAAUGUUCUCAAAAUGUAACAAAUUAAUAUAAAAACUUACAUAUAAUAUAAUUUUUGUUUUAUAAAAAUAAUAAUUUAUGUUUUGAUAAUAUACUUAAACGUUGAUUAAUGAUACAUAAAUAUUAAUGGUGAUAAUAGAUGUAAGAAAAAAAUUCUUUUAAUUGACUGAUGAACAAGACUGAUUAUUAAUAAAGAGUCAUUUAAUUGUUUUAAUUUUAAUUUUCUUUUAUACAUCCAAUAUUUAAACGUCCUAAUUCAAUUGAUGGAAUGACGAAGUUGAAACCUACACAAUAUAGGUUAUGCCUAUGACGGAAUUACGUACACGGAAUGACGAAGUUAAAAAUAAUACCGUUUUUCCUGACGAAAUUAGAUACAAAAUAGAGGUUUGAAAAAACUACUUUUUUGUUAUAAUUAUCAAUAAUUUAUACAUUUGAUACACUUUUUCAUGAUCAGAUUCGUUUUACCCGAUAAUAAAUUCCCUCCAUAGGAAAAACAACCAAAAUAUAAUACUUAUUUUGAGGUCAUAAUGCAUUUACACCGUUAACGUGACGAAGUUAUAGUUAUUUACCUUAAUCGUUGAAGAUCUUACAAGUGAUAGAACUCUUUAACUAAAUUUUUAGAAAGAAAAACAAUGAAUAUAUCUGAAUUUAUUGUUAUUCCUACUGUAUAACGUUUUGAAGACAUAAGUUAAAGAUCGAGUUAGACAAGAUAGUCUUGCAACAGCGAUAAAUCCUAA